UGAAACUAAAAGAAAGGAAAAUAGCUUUAAAGAUGGCGUCGCCGUUAACCAAAUAAAAGAACGUGAUCUCCAUCGCUUCUUCUUCUCCUUCUUCAUAGCCCAAAGAAAAGAUAGGAAGCUUUGUUUGUUAAGUUUGAGUCUCCAAUUCUAUGCUUUCAAAUCCAAUUUCGAUUUAACCUUCUCCAAACGAAAUCAAGCCAUGUCUGAUGGCGAUGACAAUAAUCUGCAUCGGCUUGUGAACAGCUAAUCUUCUUCUUAAAGCAUCUUGAUUCCGCCAUUGGUGUCAAGGUAUCUGCUUUGGAGCUCGAUCCCAUCAAAGAUAAAUGCAUAGUUGAGUUGUCUCAAGAUUAGGAACAGAAUUUGCUGAGCAUGGAGAUUCAAGUUUAGAAGUUUCUGCACUUUCGGUUAUCAGUUCCCACCACCAAAACGUUUCUCAGGUAAAACACUAAAACGCUAUAUGUAUAAAGUCAUUUUCUUCUUCUAUGUUUCAGGCGGUUCAUUCAAGCAGCUCAAGCAUUUGACAAGGUUCCCCAUAUUGAGAUGGAGUACUUAGCAAACUAUGUUGCAGUAUUGACUGUUGUGGAAUAUAGUUUUCUAAGGCUCAUGCCGUCCUUAAUAGCUGCCUCAGCUGUUUUUUUAGCAAGAUGGACGCUUGACCAAUCUAACCAUCCUUGGAACCCAACUCUGAAGCACUACACCAGAUAUGAGACGCCUGCCCUUAAAAACACAGUACUUGCAAUGUAGGAUUUGCAGCUUAACACCAGUGGAAGCACCCUCGUUGCUAUAAGGAAGAAGUACAACCAAGAAAAGACAGUUUAAAAGAGUGGCAUAACCAAGUCAGCACAUCUCUCUGGCUUCAACACAUGCAUCAGGUGGCCAAUCCUUGCUUCAGACAUCAUUUGUAGUCUCUUCAGUAGUGGAAUAUUUUCAAGAAGUUGUGCUUCCAGGCAAUGCCAUCUCACGUGAAAAUUGUAAAACCAAACAUAAACUUUAACAUUGAGAUAGUCCCUUUACCUUAAACAUUUUUUAUUUAUCUCUAGUCCCCUUAUCAGAGCAAGUAUAUUGCAAGAUUCAAUAAAAAGUAAAGCCAGCAUUUGACUGUUA